GACAACGUUCGCCGGGUCAUACUAGCCAUAUGUCAGCAAUAAGAACGUAUAUUUUCUGUACAGUUCCCAUAGAGCACUAGUCCGGCAUAGUCAAAUGGUUUUUGGUGAGAAAUAACUUCCUAAAAAUGUCUGAAAAUAAGGAAAAUGCUGCCUUUGCUUGGCCACAACCGGAGGAAGCAGAAGAAGAAUUGAACGAGGCAGAAAGUACGUGCGUCAUAUGCCUCGAUUUCUUCACUGAGCCUUUGGUCAUUCUAAUGUGUGGGCACAUUUUUUGCGGUGAAUGCAUAAUUGUCUCCCUAUGCUACAGCAAUUUAUGCCCAAUUUGCCGUCAACAAGUCGCAUAAGUGAAACCAUUUUGUCAGCCUUAACUUGUUCAUAAAACUACGAAAAUUUAACUGGACACGCAAAUAUCCCAAUACAUGCAAGCGGAUAGCUAAAUAAAUAAUUAAAUAUGUAAUACAU